AUUGAACGCUGGCGGCAGGCCUAACACAUGCACGUCGAACGAGUGGCGGACGGGUGAGUACUGUCUGGGAAACUGCCUGAUGGAGGGGGAUAACUCCUGGAAACGGUAGCUCCUACCUCAUACCCUCAGAUGUGCCCCGAUGGGCUUAGCUUGUUGGUGGGGUAACGGCUCCCCAAGGCGACGAUCCCUAGCUGGUCUGAGAGGAUGACCAGCCACACGGGAACUGAGACACGGGCCAGACUCCUACGGGAGGCAGCAGUGGGGAAUAUUGCACAAUGGGCGAAAGCCUGAUGCAGGCAUGCCGCGUGUAUGAAGAAGGCCUUCGGGUUGUAAAGUACUUUCAGCGGGGAGGCGUUACCCGCAGAAGAAGCACCGGCUAACUCCGUGCCAGCAGCCGCGGUAAUUC
rnacentral:rRNA from 1 species